rnacentral:miRNA from 1 species
AGCUUUCGGCUGGACCUCUAGU